UACGUAGGUGGCGAGCGUUGUCCGGAUUUACUGGGCGUAAAGAGCGCGCAGGCGGUCGUUCAAGUCGGAUGUGAAAGCCCCCGGCUCAACUGGGGAGGGUCAUUCGAUACUGAUCGACUCGAAGGCAGGAGAGGGAAGCGGAAUUCCCGGUGUAGUGGUGAAAUGCGUAGAUAUCGGGAGGAACAUCAGUGGCGAAAGCGGCACCCUGGCAUUAGCCUGACGCUCAUGUGCGAAAGCGUGGGGAGCGAACGGG
rnacentral:rRNA from 1 species